rnacentral:rRNA from 1 species
UACGUAGGGUCCGAGCGUUGUCCGGAAUUACUGGGCGUAAAGAGCUCGUAGGUGGUUUGUCGCGUUGUUCGUGAAAACUCACAGCUUAACUGUGGGCGUGCGGGCGAUACGGGCAGACUGGAGUACUGCAGGGGAGACUGGAAUUCCUGGUGUAGCGGUGGAAUGCGCAGAUAUCAGGAGGAACACCGGUGGCGAAGGCGGCAUCCUGGACCGACACUGACACUGAGGAGCGAAAGCCAGGGGAGCAAACGGG